CCAGGAUUCAGUGUGGGCUCUGCUCAGAACUCAGAAAUCCAGUUAAAAGGACACAAUUGGAAACACUGGUUAUUUUACCAGUGUCUUGACUUGAAUGGGGUACUUUCAGAUACAGACUCCUUUAAGGAAUUAAAGUUAACUUAUACAGCCAAUAAAAGCCCCUGGGGAAAACUGGCAUAAUACCUUGUCUAGGCAGCCCUGUACAGACUCCUGACCUAUGGAUGUGAGACUUCACAACCUUCUAAAAAUGAGUUUUCCUAACAACAUGGGACCUACCCUUCUAGGAAUAAACCAUCCUAGCCAUGAGAAAUCAGAUGAAAACUGGGACCAGAGACUCUUUUUCUUCUAAAAUGCUUUUUCUGAAAGAUUUUAAAAAGAAA